UGACUGAGAGGUGGCUUCUGGGCUAAAGGA
rnacentral:piRNA from 2 species